rnacentral:lncRNA from 1 species
CUUUUGUGUAGGUUCAGAAAUCAAAUUUCUCUUGUCUAUAGGGCAAUCUGUAAAGUAAAAUCUUCUAACAGGCAGUUGUCCUCUUGGAGCUUCACUGAGAAAUGCAUUUAUCAGUGUAUUUAACAAGGCACUAAGAAGUUGUCAAGGCUGAGUGACAAGAAGGGGCUUUCUUGCUUCAGAUCAGCUCCACCUCCCCCUGUGCCUCUCCCCCACGCCAGCCCAGACUCCAUCGUGGCUUUGGGCUGGACCUGGUGUUUUACAAACCUCAACCCAACAUGAGAAAUCUGCAGUAUGGCUUUUCAGGAUACCUUUUUACUGGAGCAACAAAUAUUUUGUGUUUGCUCAGGAAUGGUCUAGAGCCUUCAGGUGCUGCAGAGAUCAUCACUGUGCUGGAAUCAGUGAAAAGAAGUCUUCUUCUGCAGAAUCCUGUGUCUGAGUUCAAAUCACUGAUGAAGCUCCUGCAGUAUAGUUCCAGGCUUUGCCUGAGACACUGGUGUGUGCACAUUUCUGCCAGCCCUGCCAAGGGACAACCAGAUGGGUGAAGGGUAGUGAAUCACCAGGAGGUGGAGGACCAAAAGAUGCUGUUCAUCUCAGGCACGAUACCUAUGUGGAAUCUACCUUGUCCUCAAGGUAACUUCAGUUUCUCGUGGUAUCUGCUUUGAUUUCUUAUUGUCUUCGCAAAACAGCAAGGAAUCAGCUUUACCUCUACUCUGCCUGUUCUCUUGCUUUUGUGCCUGUGGCUCUUCUUGCAGUAAUUGCCUGUGUGCAGUUUCCAGCAUUCAGAGAAGAAAUUGCACACCUGCACAUGAUGUGAAAUUUCUCUCAAACACCUUUUUGCUAUGUUUCUUCCUAAAAAAUUCACUCGCUAAAAUAGCUGAUGGUCUGGAUAUAUAAAUUUUUUUAUAUGUAACAGAAGAAGGACUGCAGCAGGUGAGAACAUGCAGACCUCAUGCUUUUGUAAAUGGCCCAGUGAUGUCUUUAAAAUAGGAAGAGGAAAGGUCUGGCUUCUACUGAGAGAGCUGAGACAGUGCCCAGGUUUAGGUGUAAUUUGCACCAUGAGGUGCAGCAUACAGUGAUCUUAUGUGAUGAUGUUUUAUGCCUGCUCUGAUUCUUGUCUGUUAAUAAUGGAAGAAAGAGCUGCCAGAGGAGAAAGGACAACUUUACUUUUAUCUCAGCUCUACUGACAAUUUCUUUGUAUGUAACUCUGCUUUCUUUUCUCUUAUCAAGUCCUUUUCUUUUUCUUUCAUCUGAGUUGUUUGUGAAAUAUAAAGAAAAAAUGUUUAUAUAUUCUCUUCCACAUUAUGAGCACCCCAGUUGCCAUCUCUGGGUCCAUGUGCACCAAUGUGAGUGUUGUGUUCAAGGGCUGGUAAAUGUCACGUAGCCAAACAGAGCAUUUCAGUCAGGUGGCACUGAAGAGCUCCACUCGUGUAGCACAUGCCUUUCCUGAGCUCAAAACAGAUGUUUCCCUUGACAGAUCCCCCUCUGGAUUGCUGAAAAUAAAGUUGUGUAAAAUUGUGUG